UCAGAUGAUCAAAUUACAAAGAGAUUGUAACCCCAAAAUCAUUAAUACAAAAAUAUAUUUUGUACACGUAUUCUUGUUUCUUGUUUCAAGAAUUUUUCGUGUUUACAGUUAUAUAUGUUUCAUAAGAAUUGGGUGGAAAGUGUAACCAGUUUGAUUCAAGUGUGUUAUCAUUGUUCUGUUAGAUAUUUAAAUAAAUUGGGUUACAACUUACUAUGUGGUUUUUUACUGGUAGCCGCAUAUAGACACAAAAGAUUGUGAAAUGCUGAGUUGUUUGCGUGAAAAAAAUAUGGGGAAAUUCAUCGUGUGUUGACUGUUGAGGUAUUUAUUCAGCAAAAAAUAUUGAAGAACGUUGUUUUAUUUAGAUUGAUAGAUGGUGGUAAAAGUUUUCUUCCAUUGGUGUUCGUUGUCAAGAAGGCAGUCUACGUUGGAUAAAAUAUAUAUAUAUACAUAUAUAUAUAUAUAUAUAUAUAUUGACACCAUGUUUUAAGCUGUUGAGAACAAUUAAUCGCCAGAGUUUACUAUUUUUUUUUCAAAUUUAUUUAUCUGAGGUUUUAUUUCAGCGUUACAACUUAUGUGUUUUCUCUUUAGUGUGAUUCAGUAUGGGUUUAUCUAGGUUUGCGGCUAAGUUUAUGGUAACGUUGAUAUACAAUUUUUUGAUUUUCCUGUAAAUUUAUAUUGAUUAUAUUUUUUUGGUUGUUAAUUUAUUGAUGCUAGGAAUAAUUUUGGCUUUCAGUAUUUUUUUUUUUUUUUUUUUUUUUGUCGAAAGUUUAUUUAUUUAUUUUUAAUACUUUUCUACCAAUAGUUUAUAGCGUUCUCUUAUCAAAUUUUCCCUAUUUUCAGAUAGUUAAGUGUAGGCAAGUGCUGAAAUAAACAUAUGCUUGUGGAUAUUAUUAGAGUGUAAACAUGCCAAGAAAUAAUCCUUUGAGUGCUUGCAAGGUACCUGCCGCAGGUUCUGUUUGUUGUUGCCAAUCUGCAGGAGGGGUUUGGAGGAUGAGGAAGAAAGAACCUUUAUCCGGAUCUUUUAAUAAUGAGUACCAUUUAUUUGAAAAAGAUAAGGUCAG